rnacentral:rRNA from 1 species
UACCAGCACCCCGAGUGGUCGGGACGAUUAUUGGGCCUAAAGCAUCCGUAGCCGGUUCUGCAAGUCCUCCGUUAAAUCCAACUGCUUAACAGAUGGGCCGCGGAGGAUACUACAGAGCUAGGAGGCAGGAGAGGCAAGCGGUACUCAGUGGGUAGGGGUAAAAUCCGUUGAUCCAUUGAAGACCACCAGUGGCGAAGGCGGCUUGCCAGAAUGCGCUCGACGGUGAGGGAUGAAAGCUGGGGGAGCAGACCGG